AGCAGUAGCCGCGGUAAUACGAAGGGGGCUAGCGUUGCUCGGAAUGACUGGGCGUAAAGGGCGCGUAGGCGGCGGCCAAAGUCAGGCGUGAAAUUCCCGGGCUCAACCUGGGGGCUGCGUUUGAUACUUGGUUGCUUGAGUGGGGAAGAGGGUCGUGGAAUUCCCAGUGUAGAGGUGAAAUUCGUAGAUAUUGGGAAGAACACCGGUGGCGAAGGCGGCGACCUGGUCCUUUACUGACGCUGAGGCGCGAAAGCGUGGGGAGCAAACAGGAUUAGAUACCCCUGUAGUCCCUGUCUCUUAUAC
rnacentral:rRNA from 1 species